rnacentral:lncRNA from 1 species
GCCGCCGAGGUCAGUGUUUCAAGUUGGAGUGGGCUUAUUUUGUGAAAUCGAAUGGUUUGUGCAAAUAAAGAAUUGUCUAAGGUAAUGUGAUUCUGCAUUAUCGUAGGCAGGACGAGGCUUAUUCGGGAUGUCUUAUGGACUUCCAAUGCUUGCGUAUCUCAUUCCUCUCAUCAGCAUCCUCAAGUUUUCAAGAUCUUUUCUGCACUCCCAAAUCUUGGUUGGUAUACUAUUUUUUCAAUUCUCUAUCAAAUUUAACAGAAAAUGUGAAAGUUUUGGCUUUUUGAGUUUAAUUUGAAUCUUGUUAUCGUUGUUUAGCAAUUUUUAUUCACCCAAUUUGUUUUUUGUGCUUGCAGAAGCUUAAAGUGUCUGCCUUCAAUUACAC